AUUGAACGCUGGCGGCAUGCCUUACACAUGCAAGUCGAACGGUAACGCGGGGCAACCUGGCGACGAGUGGCGAACGGGUGAGUAAUGCAUCGGAACGUGCCCAGAAGUGGGGGAUAGCCCGGCGAAAGCCGGAUUAGUACCGCAUGAGACCUGAGGGUGAAAGCGGGGGAUCGCAAGACCUCGCGCUUUUGGAGCGGCCGAUGUCAGAUUAGCUAGUUGGUGGGGUAAAGGCCUACCAAGGCGACGAUCUGUAGCUGGUCUGAGAGGACGAGCAGCAACACUGGGACUGAGACACGGCCCAGACUCCUACGGGAGGCAGCAGUGGGGAAUUUUGGACAAUGGGCGCAAGCCUGAUCCAGCCAUGCCGCGUGCGGGAAGAAGGCCUUCGGGUUGUAAACCGCUUUUGUCAGGGAAGAAACGCUCUGGGCUAAUACCCUGGGGUAAUGACGGUACCUGAAGAAUAAGCACCGGCUAACUACGUGCCAGCCGCCGCAGUAA
rnacentral:rRNA from 1 species